rnacentral:rRNA from 1 species
AGUGAACGCUGGCGGUAGGCCUAACACAUGCAAGUCGAACGGCAGCACAGUAAGAGCUUGCUCUUACGGGUGGCGAGUGGCGGACGGGUGAGGAAUACAUCGGAAUCUACUUUUUCGUGGGGGAUAACGUAGGGAAACUUACGCUAAUACCGCAUACGACCUACGGGUGAAAGCAGGGGAUCUUCGUACCUUGCGCGAUUGAAUGAGCCGAUGUCGGAUUAGCUAGUUGGCGGGGUAAAGGCCCACCAAGGCGACGAUCCGUAGCUGGUCUGAGAGGAUGAUCAGCCACACUGGAACUGAGACACGGUCCAGACUCCUACGGGAGGCAGCAGUGGGGAAUAUUGGACAAAGAGCGCAAGCCUGAUCCAGCCAUACCGCGUGGGUGAAGAAGGCCUUCGGGUUGUAAAGCCCUUUUGUUGGGAAAGAAAAGCAGCAGGUUAAUACCCCGCUGUUCUGACGGUACCCAAAGAAUAAGCACCGGCUAACUUCGUG